rnacentral:tRNA from 1 species
GUUCUCGUAGUUGAAAGUUUGCACAGCGGCAGUUUUUCAAGCUGUAGAUCUUGGAUAGAGGCCAAGCGAGAAUA